GACUUGUGUACGUGGUUUGAUCUGUUUCUAAAGCGUCAUGAUGUAGUUCUGUCUACCGGAACAGUUUAUUUAAGUAUCGAAACUCGAAAUUACAAUGCCUGGCGACAACUGUGCCGUGUUUGGUUGCGGUACAUGUGGUAGAACGAAAGGAAUCGGCAUAUUUAAGUUGCCCUCGCUGCGAAAUGCCGAGUAUGAAAAAUGGCGCAAAGAGUGGCUGAAUCAGCUGACCAAAACAAGAAUUAUCGACAAAGAUUUAUCAAAUCGAUAAAGGAAAAGUAUUUACAUGUGAGAAGCAUUUCGAUCCAAAGGAUAUCGAAACAUUUCCAUCGGAAAAAUGGUAAAGAAAAAGCUUAAGUUUGGAGCUUUACUGACUUUAAAUUUUCCAAAGAGAAGUCAUGAUUCGGUAAACCCUCCUUCACGACCAUUGAGGUCUGUUGUGCAAGAUCAACCAGCGGCUGAAGUCAACAAGAAAUAUUUUAGCAGCUUUAUUGAAGUAUGUAAAAGAGUCAAAACGCUGAAAACAUCGCAGGAAUGGACGGUGAAUGAACUUAGCGAUAGACUGCUUUUUCAAAAGAAAACAGCAGCAGUAAUACUUCCAGAAAUUGAGCUAAUGAUCGAUGACAGCCUUGGGUUUUCAAUUUCUGUAUAUGGAUGGCUACUUCCAGAAGACCAUGAAAUGUAUACUACAAACUUGACAUCAGUUUGCAAUCUAACUCUCUCAGAUCUUAUCAAAUCUAUCAAUAGCCUGUAAAUCUGUGCUGGUGUUGAGCCUUAUGAGUUAUCUAGCAAAAUAGUUCAUCACUCGAUUCCCAAGCCCGUCGAUCCAUUGUUCGCUGACAGUGAUAGCUCAUUUCCGCAUCAAGAAUAUUGGAGAACAAAGAACUGCUCUGUCUUGUGUGGCAAAACACCAGUAACCAUAUGAUAAAAAAGAACAUUUCAUUGUG